rnacentral:tRNA from 1 species
GGGUUAGUAGCUCAGCCCGGGAGAGCGCAGGACUGAAGUUCUCAGUCCAAUGGGCUUUAUCAGCUAUCCUGAUGCCGCGUGUUCAAAUCACGCCUAACCCA